rnacentral:misc_RNA from 1 species
UGCGGAUGGAUCAUUAUUGAAAUAUCCACACACCCCAACCUCGAAUGUUUUGGCGGGCGUCGCGAGACACCACCCGCACAUUUAACCCUUCUACUGUUGACAAAUAAGCUAACGAGAAUAACUUUUAACAAUGGAUCUCUUGGCUCUCGCAUCGAUGAAGAACGCAGCGAAAUGCGAAAAGUAAUGUGAAUUGCAGAUUUUGUGAAUCAUCGAGUCUUCGAACGCACCUUGCGCUCUCGGGUAUUCCCGGGAGCAUGCCUCUUUGAGUGUCAUUUAACCUCUCAAUCUCUGAUUGGAAUUGGGCUGCUAGCGGCGGCCUGAAAGACAAAGUCUCUGUUGAGCGUGCUAAGCGUGAGCUUUGCGGGACUUUGCUGCGGCAACAUUAUUCCUGAUCUCAAAUGAGGCAAGACUACCCGCUGAACUUAAGCAUAUCAAUAAGCGGAGGAAAGGGCGAAUUCGUUUAAACCUGCAGGACUAGUCCCUUUAGUGAGGGUUAAUUCUGAGCUUGGCGUAAUCAUGGUC